GGCACAGUGGCUUAGUGGUUAGCAGCUUGCCUUGCACCUCUGGGGUUGGGGGUUCGAUUCCUGCCUCUGCCU